rnacentral:rRNA from 1 species
CAUUGGCGGCAUGCUAUACAUGCAAGUCGAGCGGACAGAUGGGAGCUUGCUCCCUGAUGUUAGCGGCGGACGGGUGAGUAACACGUGGGUAACCUGCCUGUAAGACUGGGAUAACUCCGGGAAACCGGGGCUAAUACCGGAUGGUUGUUUGAACCGCAUGGUUCAAACAUAAAAGGUGGCUUCGGCUACCACUUACAGAUGGACCCGCGGCGCAUUAGCUAGUUGGUGAGGUAACGGCUCACCAAGGCAACGAUGCGUAGCCGACCUGAGAGGGUGAUCGGCCACACUGGGACUGAGACACGGCCCAGACUCCUACGGGAGGCAGCAGUAGGGAAUCUUCCGCAAUGGACGAAAGUCUGACGGAGCAACGCCGCGUGAGUGAUGAAGGUUUUCGGAUCGUAAAGCUCUGUUGUUAGGGAAGAACAAGUACCGUUCGAAUAGGGCGGUACCUUGACGGUACCUAACCAGAAAGCCACGGCUAACUACGUGCCAGCAGCCGCGGUAAUACGUAGGUGGCAAGCGUUGUCCGGAAUUAUUGGGCGUAAAGGGCUCGCAGGCGGUUUCUUAAGUCUGAUGUGAAAGCCCCCGGCUCAACCGGGGAGGGUCAUUGGAAACUGGGGAACUUGAGUGCAGAAGAGGAGAGUGGAAUUCCACGUGUAGCGGUGAAAUGCGUAGAGAUGUGGAGGAACACCAGUGGCGAAAGCGACUCUCUGGUCUGUAACUGACGCUGAGGAGCGAAAGCGUGGGGGAGCGAAACAGGAUUAGAUACCCUGGUAGUCCACGCCCGUAAACGAUGAGUGCUAAGGUGUUUAGGGGGUUUCCCGCCCCCUUAGUGCUGCAGCUAACGCAUUUAAGCACUCCGCCUGGGGGAGUACGGUCGCAAGGACUGAAACUCAAAGUAUUUGACGGGGGCUCGCACCAGCGUGGCAGCAUGGUGGCUUAUUCCGAGGCAACGCGAAGAACGUUACCAAAGGAUCCUG